CGGGGUGAGUAAUGUCUGGGAAACUGCCUGAUGGAGGGGGAUAACUGCUGGAACCGGUAGCUAAUACCGCAUAACGUCGCAAGACCAAAGAGGGGGACCUUCGGGCCUCUUGCCAUCGGAUGUGCCCAGAUGGGAUUAGCUAGUAGGUGGGGUAACGGCUCACCUAGGCGACGAUCCCUAGCUGGUCUGAGAGGAUGGCCAGCCACACUGGAACUGAGACACGGUCCAG
rnacentral:rRNA from 1 species